CUGGGCUUGACAUGUAAUGAACAACAUGUGAAAGCAUGCGACUCUUCGGAGGCGUUACACAGGUGCUGCAUGGCCGUCGUCAGCUCGUGUCGUGAGAUGUUUGGUUAAGUCCAGCAACGAGCGCAACCCCUGUUGCCAGUUACCAGCACGUGAAGGUGGGGACUCUGGCGAGACUGCCCAGACCAACUGGGAGGAAGGUGGGGACGACGUCAGGUCAGUAUGGCCCUUAUGCCCAGGGCUGCGCACGUACUACAAUGCCCAGUACAGAGGGGGCCGAAGCCGCGAGGCGGAGGAAAUCCUAAAAACUGGGCCCAGUUCGGACUGUAGGCUGCAACCCGCCUACACGAAGCCGGAAUCGCUAGUAAUGGCGCAUCAGCUACGGCGCCGUGAAUACGUUCCC
rnacentral:rRNA from 1 species